UAGGUGUUUUACGUAUAAGUGGUUUACUUGCCCUGUCUUCUUCCCUUUCUCAAUUCCAUCAUAUUUCUGUUCACCAUUUUCGCAGCUCCAAAUGAUAAGAUGGCAAAGCAGUCGAGUUCUCUUUUCCUCGAGGAAUGGUUGAAGAGCAUCGGCGGCACUGCUCUUAACUCCAAACUCACUUCCUCUUCUGCUCGAGAAAUUAUCCAAGCAUGGGCUGAGCUUAGAAGCUCUUUGGAACAUCAAUCCUUUGAUGAUCGCCACAUUCAAUCGCUCAAAAUUCUCGUUAACUCUCAGUCCUCACUCUAUGUUGCAGACCCUCAAGCUAAGUUGGUGAUUUCUAUACUUUCUUCUCCCAAUUUCUCUAUUCCUGAUGAAUCCUAUCCCCUUUUUCUGAGGAUCCUUUAUAUCUGGGUCAGAAAAUCUCUCCGACCCUCUUUAGUUCUUGUCGAUUCAUCUGUUGAGGUUCUCUCUCAUAUUUUUUCUUCCAAAAUUGAAUUGCGGAAGAACCCUUUGUUUUUCUCUGAAGGGGUUUUAGUUUUGGGUGCAAUUUCGUAUCUGCUUUCAGCUUCAGAAAAAUCAAAAUUAUGCUGUUUGGAGUUGCUUUGCAGGGUUUUGGAAGAAGAAUACCUACUGGUUGGAUCAGUGGGAGAGAUAAUUCCAGAAUUUCUUGCUGGGAUUGGUUAUGCUUUAUCUUCAUCAGUGAAUGCUCAUGUUGUUAGAUUGUUAGAUUCUUUGUUAGGAAUUUGGGGUAAUAUAGGUGGCCCUAUUGAUACUCUUUCUAGUGGGUUAAUGAUUCUGCAUAUGAUUGAAUGGGUGACCUCUGGUAUGAUUAGUCUUCAUUCUUUUGAGAAAUUAGAUGUGUUUAGCCAAGCUAUUUUAGUGUCUUCAAAGGAAAGUUAUGCUUCAUUUGCUGUUGUAAUGGCUGCAGCUGGAAUAUUGAGGGCUUUUAAUACUCAAAAAGGCUUGUUGAGUAGUUCAGAAAGAGAAACAAUAUCUAGAAUAAGGAUUUCAGCCCAAGAUUGUUUAGAAUCUAUAGCAAGGAAUUUUAUUUCUACUAUGGAAGGAUCUUCAAUUACAGGCAAUGACCAUAGAAGGAGCGUGCUUCUAUUGUGUAUUUCGUUGGCAAUAGCACGUUGUGGUCCUGUGUCAUCUUGCCCGCCUGUGCUCAUUUGUGUUGUUUAUGCUUUGUUGACUGAAAUAUUUCCUUUGCAGCGUUUAUAUGCCAAAAUUAAUGAAUUCUCUUUUGCCGAGUUGGGUGCGUUGGGGCUUACUCUAGUGAACGAGCAUCUGGGUAGUAUUCCUUUUAAGGAAGCCGGGGCCAUCACUGGUGUUUUUUGCAGUCAGUAUGCUACACUUGAGGAAGAGGACAAAAGUUUUGUUGAGAAUCUUGUAUGGGAUUACUGUCAAGACGUCUACUCAAGGCAUAGACUAGCCGGUUUGGUGCUUCGUGGCAGAGAGGAUGAAUUAUUAGAGAAUAUAGAGAAAAUUGCAGAGUCUGCUUUCCUCAUGGUUGUAGUUUUCGCAUUAGCCGUCACAAAAGAAAAGUUAGAUUCCAAAUAUACGCUGGAAAGUCAGUUUGACAUAUCAGUAAGAAUACUUGUUUCAUUCUCUUGUAUGGAAUACUUUCGGCGUAUUCGCUUGCCAGAAUAUAUGGAUACUAUCCGAGGGGUUGUUGCAAGCAUUCAGGGGAAUGAGUCUGCUUGUGUAUCUUUCAUUGAAUCAAUGCCUACGUACCAAGAUCAAACAAAUGGGCCUGAUAACUCUAUUGGGCGGAUAACAAAAUAUUCAUGGACCAAGGACGAAGUGCAAACUGCACGUAUGUUGUUUUAUGUACGAGUCAUUCCAACUUGCAUUGAGCGUGUUCCUACCCAAGUGUAUGGGAAGGUGGUAGCCCCAACAAUGUUUUUAUAUAUGGGGCAUCCAAAUGCAAAAGUAGCCCGAGCUUCGCACUCCGUGUUUAUAGCUUUCAUGUCUGGGAAGGAUGACCUUGGCGAUGAAAAGAGAGUGACGUUGAAGGAGGAGCUUGUUUUCUACUACAUUGAGAGAUCUUUAUCAGGGUAUCCUGGCAUUACACCAUUUGAAGGCAUGGCUUCAGGAGUUGCAGCUUUGGUACGAUAUCUUCCUGCAGGGAGUCCAGCAAUCUUUUAUUGUAUUGACAGUCUUACUGUAAAAGCUACCAGCCUUUGCAGUGAAAACUUCAUGGAUGACGCGGAUUUGUGGAAGACUUGGCAAGGAGACUUGGAGCCUUCCAAGAAAAUUUUAGAUAUGCUUUUACGGCUCGUUUCUCUUGUUGAUAUACAGGUCCUACCAAGCUUGAUGAAGAAUUUAGCACAACUAAUCAUCGAGUUACCCACAGAAGGCCAAAAUAUGGUUCUUGAUCAGUUAUACUCCCUGGUUUCAGAAGCCGAUGAUGUCACCCGUAAACCCAUGUUAGUUUCAUGGCUACAGUCGUUGUCUUAUCUUUGUUCCCAAUCUAAGAGCACAGAUGCACGUUCCAUUGAGAAGCAAAGUACACGGCUUACAAAUUUUGCAUGGAUUGUUGAUCCAUUGAACCGUAUUCGAUCCUAUGCACGACUUUGAGGACUUGAGCUCGGGGAAGACGAUUGGCACUGCCUAGCACAAUAGGGAUUCUAUGUCCUUAACUCUUUCUCUAGGAACUGUUAUAGGACUAGUUUGUUGUCUUCUUAUUUUUCAACUUUAGAAAAAGAUUGUAUGUUGUGGCAUUUUCGCCUUGGUCAUCCAAAUUUCAAAUAUAUGAAAUAUUUAUUUUCUCAUUUAUUCAAUAAAGUUGAUGUCUCUUCUCUAUCUUGUAAUGUGUGCAUUCGUGCAAAAAAAGCAUAAGGUCACCUUUCCGUCUCAACCUUACAAAACUUCUCAGCCCUUCACCCUUAUUUAUAGUGAUGUUUGGGGUCCCUCGAGUAUUACCACCUCUUCGAGGAAAUGGUGGUUUGUGACUUUUAUUGAUGAUCAUACCCGUCUUACAUGGGUUUUUCUCUUCACUGAUAAAUCUGAGGUUUGUCGGUAUUUCAACAAUUUUAUACUACUCUUGAGACUCAGUUCAACACAAAAAUUGAUGUUCUUUGUAGUAAUAAUGGUCGUGAGUUCCUUAAUAAUACUUUUUGUGAUUUUUUGUCUUCUAAAGGUAUUGUCCACCAAAGCUCGUGUGCCUAUACACCUCAACAGAAUGAGGUGGCUGAAAGGAAAAAUCGUCACCUUCUUGAGGUUGCACAGUCUCUUAUGUUGUCUACUUCACUUCUAUCUUACUCAUGGAGGGAUGCAGUUCUGACUGUAGCUCAUCUUAUUAAUCGAAUGUCUUCCCGUGUCCUCCAACUCCAAACCCCUCUUGAAUGCCUCAAGGAGUCAUACCCUACCACGCGGCUUAUUCCCGAUAUUCCUCUUUGAGUUUUUGGGUGCACUACCUUUGUCCAUAGUCAUGACCUUAAUCAAACUAAGUUUACUUCUCAUGCUUAGAAAUGUGUCUUCAUUGGGUAUCCCCUUCACCAGCGAGGUUAUAAAUAUUUUCACCUUUCUUCCUAGAAAUACUUCAUCUCAAUGGAUGUAACGUUCCUUGAGGAUAAACCUUUUUUUCCCGUUAGUUAUCUUCAGAGGGAGAGUACUAGUGAAGAGACUAACUGGUCCACAUCUUCAGUCCCUACUGACCUUUCUGAACUCCUUCCUAAAUCCAUCCUGAGUGCCCAUGACACUGUUCUACCCACUAAACAAGUCCCUUGGAUAACCUACUACAAGAAGAAUUUUAGAAAGGAAAUGGUGUCCCCUACUACUUCACCGACGCCAGUCCAUGAAUCUGAACCAACACAAGCUCAAGGUGUUGUCACCUGAACUUACUUGCGGCGAGCACAACAUAUUUUAAUCAAGCUUACUGUCCCAAGUUUAUCUGAGAAUUGCACCCAUUUUGGUCAGUCUGCAAAGCGAAAAUGAAAGAAGCUUUGAAACAUCCCUAGUCUUAGUCUUUGUCUUUCAGUAGAGUUUUCCCCAUUCUUUUAGUUACCUUAAAAGAGAACUGUUUACAAAACAAGCUGCACGAAAGAGGCCAAGCCAUAACAUAUGAGACGACUCAACUUUAACAUAGUUACUUUUAUGAUAUAGUUGACCCCUACAGGUAUUUAUACAAGUUAUCAGUGUAAGAACGAUGCAUUAUUCCUUUUCGUAUCGGGACGUUACAACUGAUUUUUUAUUCCAUUAUAUUCACAAAUCUCCAUCAACUAGAAUGGAAAGGCUGUGAUCAAUAAAUGUUAUGAUGUAUUUGUUUAUGUUAAUCUACUUAGGAAAUAUCCGUUAGCAAUAUAUUGAACUUUUUCUGGGUCACUUUACCAAUGUAGUGUAUCUUGUAUGUAUACAUUGACAAAUGUAUUGUAUGUAUUAGCCAUUUCCUUGCAUGUUUCA